rnacentral:rRNA from 1 species
UACGUAGGGGGCUAGCGUUGCUCGGAAUCACUGGGCGUAAAGGGUGCGUAGGCGGGUCUUUGAGUCAGGGGUGAAAUCCUGGAGCUCAACUCCAGAACUGCCUUUGAUACUGAAGAUCUUGAGUUCGGGAGAGGUGAGUGGAACUGCGAGUGUAGAGGUGAAAUUCGUAGAUAUUCGCAAGAACACCAGUGGCGAAGGCGGCUCACUGGCCCGAUACUGACGCUGAGGCACGAAAGCGUGGGGAGCAAACAGG